rnacentral:sRNA from 1 species
CUUGAAGAAGCACGGCGCAGAGCAGCGUGUGUAUGAAUGCCGUAUAGGCCGAGCCGCUGAUAAAAUACGCAGCCACCGCGAACACGAUCAGAGUCCCUGUCAUGCAGAUGAAGACGCGCGGCGCGUACAUGAUCGUUCCUCCCGAACAUAAAAGUUCAGUUCGUGAAUUUUCAGGCUCCUCU